rnacentral:rRNA from 1 species
AGCAGCCGCGGUAAUUCCAGCUCCAAUAGCGUAUAUUAAAGUUGCUGCAGUUAAAAAGCUCGUAGUUGAAUUUCGGGACCAUCAUGUCGGUCGUGCCUCGGUACGUACUGGCAUUGUUGGUUUCUACCUUCUGACGAACCAUGAUGUCAUUUAUUUGGUGUCGUGGAAAAUCAGGACUGUUACUUUGAAAAAAUUAGAGUGUUUAAAGCAGGCUCACGCUUGAAUACAUUAGCAUGGAAUAAUGAAAUAGGACGUUUGAUUCUAUUUUGUUGGUUUCUAGGAUCGACGUAAUGAUUAAUAGGGAUAGUUGGGGGCAUUAGUAUUCAAUUGUCAGAGGUGAAAUUCUUGGAUUUAUUGAAGACUAACUACUGCGAAAGCAUUUGCCAAGGAUGUUUUCAUUAAUCAAGAACGAAAGUUAGGGGAUCGAAGACGAUCAGAUACCGUCGUAGUCUUAACCAUAAACUAUACCGACUAGGGAUCGGAUGAUGUUAAUUUUUUAAUGACUCAUUCGGCGCCUUAC